rnacentral:rRNA from 1 species
CCUACGGGUGGCAGCAGUAGGGAAUAUUGCUCAAUGGGGGAAACCCUGAAGCAGCAACGUCGCGUGGAGGAUGACGGUUUUCUGAUUGUAAACUCCUUUUGUUAGAGAAGAUAAUGACGGUAUCUAACGAAUAAGCAACGUCUAAUUUCGUUCCAGCAGCCGCGGUAAUACGGCGGGUGCAAGCGUUACUCGGAAUCACGGGGCGUAAAGAGCGCGUAGGCGGGAUAGCAAGUCAGAUGUGAAAUCCUAUGGCGUAACCCUAGAACUGCAUUUGAAACUGUUAUACUCGAGUAUGGGCGAGGUAGGUGGAAUUCGUGGUGUAGGGGUAAAAUCCGUAGAGAUCAAGAGGAAUACUCAUUGCGAAGGCGACCUACUAGAACAUAACUGACGCUGAUGCGCGAAAGCGUGGGGAGCAAACAGGAUUAGAUACCCGAGUAGUC